rnacentral:rRNA from 1 species
UCGAGUGAAGGAGGGAAAAGCCCAAAUUUGUAAUCUGGCUCUUUCACAAGGGUCCGAGUUGUAAUUUUGAGAACUGUUUUCUGUGCUGGACCAUUUCUAAGUCUGUUGGAAAACAGCAUCAUAGAGGGUGAUAAUCCCGUUUGUGAUAUGGACUACCAGGGCUAUAUGAUACAGUUUCUAAGAGUCGAGUUGUUUGGGAAUGCAGCUCAAAGUGGGUGGUAAAUUCCAUCUAAGGCUAAAUAUAGGUGAGAGACCGAUAGCAUACAAGUACCGUGAGGGAAAGAUGAAAAGAACUUUGGAAAGAGAGUUAACAGUGUGUGAAAUUGUUGUAAAGGAAACAUUUAAACUUAUUGUUGUGCUUGUCAGUUCAGCCCUCUUAUCAGGGUGUAUUCUGGCAAAUCACGGGCCAACAUCAGUUUUUGAGUGCUGGAUAAGGGUCUUGGGAAUGUAGCAGUCUAGGCUGUGUUAUAGCCCAUGAUUUAGAUACAGUGCUUAGGACUGAGAACAAUCUGCAGCAAGCCCUUUAUUGUGGCAGCCUGUCAUGGGCACCUAUGCUAAGGAUGUUGUUGGUCAAUAGA